GGGAUGCAUGAAUCGUUCAAGUUUAGGAGUUUAAACCAAGUGGUUUUAGUAACACGAGGUGGUCAUAGCUGUGUGUAAGUUGCACUUGGGUUGUAGAACAGUCAUUCCUCCACUCUGUAGUGAGCGUCAUAGCCAGCUCUGUGAGAGCCGUAAAUCCUUGCUCAGAGCGAGCAUAAAUGGUUGUACUUAUGCCACCGUAUCUCCUCUCUGGCUCCGUGCCCUUUCAAGCCCCACCAGUUCUGAACCGACAGGGAGAGUUUGUAAAUACCUUGUAAAAAAACAAAAGAUCAGGGGCUAAGUCUACACAUCAGGGGCUAUUUAUAAUACUCUAUUGGUCAUAAUAUAUUAUUAAUAGUUUACUUACUCUUCACAUCAUGAACUGAAGUUUGUUUGUACAACAGAUUAGGUCACUGAAACUUUGACUGGAAUGUAGUCCCAAACAUACAGUACAAGUGAUAAAAGGAGGGUGCUGCAGCGCACCAUGCCCCACUAACAGCAGCUAUAGGAUCAGGAAGGAUGAUUCAGUUCACUCAGCUGUGUCUGCUGGUCAUUCUGGCCUUGUGCACUUUAACUUCCUGGGCUGAUGGAUCUCUAUUGUAGAUAAAUGCCAGUAAGUGGAUGGAAAAAGGUCACACACAAUGCAAAUCAAACAGUGAUGAAAUGUUUUGUUUAAACAGUAUUGGAUUUUGUUCAAGACAAUCAACAAUUAUCGUAUCUUGUGUGUAAAGUCCAAGCUACAUCUGAAGCCCAAUCAUCUUCUUGCUGAUUUUUAAGUGGCCUCUUAAAUAUGUAAAUUUAAAUUAUUCAUUAUGUGAAAUUUUUUUUAUCACCAUGUAUUAUAUAAACGUUUUCAAUAUUGGGGCAUUAAAUACAACUUUUAUUUUAUAUUUGAGGUUUUUAAAUGUUUGUAAUUACAAUUAUAUAUUAUGGAGAAACAUAGGGAAUAUUAAUUCCAUCUUAUUCUAGAUCCCAGCUGGUGACUUCAAUAAAGAUCCCAAAGUGAAGCAGUAUGUUUAUGUGGCAUGGUGUGAGAGGUUCAUUGAAUGGCAUAGCAAGGUUUUGGUCAAAACCGGGCACUAACCAUUGAAGUAUGUACGUUUGAAGUAUUUGUUAUGUCAGUUAUUAACAGACCAUUUUUAGUUUGUUUCUUAUGUGUAUCUACUUUUAACUUAUCCAUCAAUAUUAAAAUAUUCAACUUUCAAUUUCCUGUAUUUGUAGGCAAAGACCGAGGAUACUACUGUGACAAGUGGCCCGUCAUGCCGCUAGAGGGACUCUGGUUUUGUUUUCCUCAGUGUCCUUCCUGUUAAUUAGUUUGAUAUUGUAGACCUGUUCAGUUUUGUAUUUAAGUCCUGUUUGUGUUUCCUUUCGUUGCUGGUGUGUUGCGUUUUUUAAGCGACAGUUACGUUGACUACUAUACGGAGGAGAUUUUGAAGAUAUGGAGUUGAGUUGUCGUUAAUGUCCUGUCCUGUGUUUGGUAGUCUGUAGAACAGAGCUGUCUUUAUUUUGUAGUAGUUUUCCUGCUAAGCAGUGAUUUAUGUUCAGUUAUGAUCUGGGCUUUUGUCCUGCUUACGCAGUGAGUUUACGUUUGUUUUGUAUUUAAUAAACCUAUUUCCAUAAAUAACCUUUACAUCCUGUUUAGGUCGUUGCAUUUGGGUUCUACCCCUCACCUGUCUCUGUCUCAUCAAGCCCUGCCAGUUAGGAACCAGUACCGGGGCAGUUUGUAACAGCUACAGCUUUACAAGAAUCACAAACCACAUGUUCUGCCUCUGUCCAUAGCCUGACAAGCAGUAUUUACAAAGCAGUGGCAUAUGUGGAAAACUGGCUGCCGAAACCUCAAGAAAGUUUUGAGUUCCCGAUAAAGUUUUGCUUCAAGUGGACUGGACAGAGGAGCUACACAGUAGCUUUAGGAUGCCCGGAAGACACUGGACAAACAGCCGAGACAGAGCGGUUGAAUGAGCUCUGAGUAAUAUCGGACGGUCGUAUAUCCUCACAGAGACUCCCUGAAGGGACAACCGUCUUGUUUUUUCAGCCACCAACAGCAGAUGAAGAAAAGAUGAGGGUUUUGGCUAAAUGAAGCAUCUGUGGCUUUCUGACAACUGUGCUUCAAUUCCAAAUAAAAAGUUAUUGAACGA